AUAAAGAAAUCAUUCAGCCUUCUGAACUGGAGUCAGAUAUCAUCAUCUUCCCACUGGGUUCAGCUGCAUUUACAAUAGGCUGGCAUCAGGCAGAGACCAGACAUAGCAGGUCAUGGGCUAAAAACCAGUUGUCUUCCUUCUUUUUAUCCAUCAUACCACUGCAUGCCAGGGAGACCAUGAUUUCCAUAAAGGCACCUGGUGACGCCUCAGGGACUCACAGAAGUCUCUGCACUGAGACAACUUUGGCACAACCUUCAGCAUGAAAAGAGGGACAGCAUUCCUUCUGAAUACUGCAGUACGCAUUCAAGAGAUCAGCUACCCUCAUAUUUUAUGUGGGUAUCUUAAUGCUGCUUUCUGGACCAGCCUAGUGAAAUAGUUUUAAUUCUCCAGUUGAUAGGCAGCUAUUUCUAAGGAAAAGGUGCUUAUGCUACUAGAGCUUAUUUCCAUGCAUUUUAACAGCUUCUACUGAUGCUACUGUCCCUUUCCAGAGAGAAGGUUGAAAUGUUUCAUCCAUCCAAGCAGGAAAACUGUAGGAAUAUGGAAUUGUGUGCAGAUUAGCUUGAAAACAUGCCACAGCAACAGUCCUGCUGAAAAAGCCACCUGCACCUCCUGUUCCUGCUUGCUGGUAGGAGACAGCAGGUAGCCAAAAUUGAAGACCAAGGAAGAGAGGGAGAGACAUCAAGCUGGCCAGGAAUUUCUUUUCAAAUUAAGAGCUUCCAUCAGACUGACAGAGGCUGGAUUUUAACCAGAGUGAGGAGCUGGACCAAGGAAACUGGAGGGGACCAUAGCUUGGACAGGUCACCUGAAUUGACCAAAGGGGCAUUCUACACCAUGGAGGAUCAUGCCCACUAUAGAAACUGGGGCGAGUUACCCAGAAGAGGGACCAGUCUGGCUUUGGGAAGAGAAGUCUGGCAUGAGUCAGUGGGUGUUGAACAAUUGUAUUUUGCAUUGCUUGUUUUUCCCUUUUUAUUAUCAUUUUUAUCAUCAUCAUAAUUUACCAUUAUUAUUGUAUUUUACUUAAUUUUCAAUUAUUAAACUGUUCUUAUCUCAAACUGCAAGUUUUACUUUGAUUCUCCUCCCCAAUCCACCAGGGUGGAAGGGUGAGAGGGAGGUUGGGUGAGUGGCUGUGUGGAGCUUAAUUUCAAGCAGGGCUUGAACCACAACACAGAUGAACUGCUUGUGUGCCUCUGCUCUAAUCCACAGGUCAGGAAAGG